UACGGAGGGAGCUAGCGUUGUUCGGAAUUACUGGGCGUAAAGCGCACGUAGGCGGCUAUUCAAGUCGGGGGUGAAAGCCCGGGGCUCAACCCCGGAACUGCCCUCGAAACUAGGUAGCUAGAAUCUUGGAGAGGUCAGUGGAAUUCCGAGUGUAGAGGUGAAAUUCGUAGAUAUUGGGAAGAACACCGGUGGCGAAGGCGGCGCUCUGGACCGAGACUGACGCUGAGGCGCGAAAGCGUGGGGAGCAAACAGG
rnacentral:rRNA from 1 species